AUAGUAAAAGCAAAGAAAUUGCGUUUAGUUUCGACCUAAAAAUUUAGUAUAUUUACUUUACUAUU
rnacentral:tRNA from 1 species